rnacentral:rRNA from 1 species
GACGAUCGCUGGCGGCGUGCUUAACACAUGCAAGUCGAACGGAAAGGCCCUGCUUUUGUGGGGUGCUCGAGUGGCGAACGCGUGAGUAACACGGGAGUAACCUGCCCUUGACUUAGGUAUAACUUUAGGAAACUGGGGCUAAUACCGGAUAUGAGCUCCUGCUGCAUGGUGGUGGUUGGAAAGUUUCGGCGGUUGGGGAUGGACUCGCUGGUUAUCAGCUUGUUGGUGGGGUAGUGGCUUACCAAGGCUUUGACGGGUAGCCGGCCUGAGAGGGUGACCGGCCACAUUGGGACUGAGAUACGGACCAGACUCCUACGGGAGGCAGCAGUGGGGAAUCUUGCACACUGGGCGGAAGCCUGAUGCAGCAACGCCGCGUGCGGGAUGACGGUCUUCGGGUUGUAAACCGAUUUCGCCUGUGACGAAGCGUGAGUGACGGUAAUGGCUAAAGAAGCAAGGGCUAACUACGUG